rnacentral:rRNA from 1 species
CAGUAGCCACGGUAAUACGUAGGUGGCAAGCGUUGUCCGGAAUUACUGGGCGUAAAGCGUGCGCAGGCGGUUGUGUAAGACAGGUGUGAAAUCCCCGGGCUUAACCUGGGAACUGCGCUUGUGACUGCACAGCUAGAGUAUGGCAGAGGGGGGUGGAAUUCCACGUGUAGCGGUGAAAUGCGUAGAGAUGUGGAGGAACACCAGUGGCGAAGGCGACUCUCUGGUCUGUAACUGACGCUGAGGAGCGAAAGCGUGGGGAGCGAACAGGAUUAGAUACCCCAGUAGUCCCUGUCUCUUAUAC